UUUAAAAGAGCCAUUGAUCUGGCUGCUAGAAUUUAAUUAGUUGGGAUUUUACGUCAGACAGCUGUAACUACCUAAAUUUUGCCAGUAGCGCUACAAGGUCCUAGCUCCAUCUAGCGUUCAUCUUUUAGAAGAAGUACGAACGAUCUCGAGAAAGUGCACAGAACUAACAAUUCUUGGUUACCAGCUUCAAACAUAGGAGAGCCCAUAACAACAGGAUAAUUCCAAGUUUGUCUUACCCGCGUAUUCUGAGGUGGAAGUGACUAACUUCUGAAAUGGUGGAUUCAAUAUGUGUAGUGAAAAUGCUGAGUCAUGACCUGAAGCAGUGAUUGAGCACCUGGUGGGAAGGCAGAGCCAACCUAGGGCAGCUCAGGUGCAAGCAAUGCACUGAAUGACUGGAAGGGCUGGAGCCAGCAUUCACCUCUUCUCAGACCUCAUUGAAGGGCAGUGGAGGUGAGGACAUCUCAUCUGGAGAUUUCUGCUAUACCUGAGGACCUUGCAAGCCUUCUAAAAGAAAUCUACAAGCCUGAACAUUUCACAUAAAUAGCCCUCUUCUGACCAGAGUCCUACUUAGUGUGGUUUUGGGAAGAAGGAAAUUCUGACAUGAGGUGGUGCAGUUUAGUCAGGAAUGUUUCAACAUAGAAGCAGCUGUCCUGCAGCUUUCUACAAGCCUUGAAUACCUCAAGAAGCAAAAUGAGGAACUUCUGCAGACUUGCUGAGGUGUCCUUCAAACUAAUUUGGACAAAAAUAAACACAAGAAUUUUCUGUCCUGCGUGCUUCAGACGUUAUUGGUCACUAACUGCCACAAAUGGGUGCUUUGUCAUUUUGGCUUCUUCAUGCAAAGAGGAUAAAAAAUGAGUGCUGUCUGUUGAAAACAUUCUAAAUAGCUUAAUAGCCAUUAUCCUAGGCAGGUACAUUUUACUCUCCAUUUUGUCUUGAUUCCAGAACAUGACUUUAUCUUUCACAUUUGUCAAAUACCUUUCCAGAUUUGCAGUCUCAAGAAAUGAAGGUGUCUUUCUGUACCCAGAAUAACUCCCACAAAUCUGUCUGAAAAAGUGUUUUAGAAAUCACCAUUAUAAAUCAUUAAAUACUUUUGCUAGAGGGAUGUAUGUAACCACCUAUGAAGUGAACGAUGUUUCUUUUUAGUGUCUGGUCUGAAGAGAUAGGAAUAUAUUGAUGCUGUUAAGUGAAGUUAUGAUCUUUAGUUACUAUUAUUUUUUCUGUAAUACAUGAAAAUAUAACCUGUUCCUAUGGAAUUGAAUGCAUAAUGUUCUAAUGUGGUAAAAAGUAGUUAAUUUCAGAUCAAAUAACUUUCUCAGAAUUUAACAUGGCAUGGUUGCCAAUAUGUGCAGUAGGUGUGUUCAUAGCUUUGAAGCUAAAAGUAUUUUAUGGACAUUAAUUGUGAAAUUGUGAAGAAUACGCAAUAACAAAUAAGGGAGGAAAAAUUAAUUGUAAUUCACCUUUUUCUGAGAUUGGAAAUCAUUCCUUCUAUUCUUCAUAAAUAUCUGGAAGAACAAGUUAUAGUCAUGGAAAUAUUUAUUAGAAUCUAAGGAUAUUAAUUACUUCAUUUUUUUAAAUUUAGAAGUUAGCCCCCAAGGCUUGACUUUGAACUCACAUUUUGAAAACUGGAACAUAAAAUCUGUAUUCCUAAUUUAAGGGACUUUGUAAAAGAUGCUAGUGUUCAAAUAAGAAGACAGUUACUGCCUUGAUAGAAGACUGCACAAUUCAGUUUUCUCUCUGAAGCUUACAGGAAUUAAAGCUGCAGUUCACAGAUAGCAACUACUUUUGAGAGAUUGGGUGCCUUGGAAGCUAUCUUAAGCAAGAAUUUCUCAUUUUAAGCCAUGUUAACCAGUUUCUGACACAAUGCACAUUCUCUAUGCUACUCCAUCAGAUCCUGCAGAGGGACUCUGUGUGAUUUUUCAUCGUAAAUUAAUUAACCUACUACUUACCCUAGGCAGGCACCAAAUAGCAAUGGGUCCAUGUUAGUUGAAACUGUAAAAUGGGUUGACUCACAGCUGCACCUGCAUAAGCAACUGUAUAUGUACACAUUUUAACAGAUGCCAAAGUGUUGAAGUUCUGUUUAAACAUGUGGGUCAUCCGAAUCACCUAGGAUUUCAUAUAGCAUAGAAAAAUGCCUUAAAAUGCGUACUACAUGCUGGAACAACAGAGGCAGCAGCAGCAGACUGCUUUGUGUACAUUAUUUACACCAAUCUAUUGGUGCAUUUAUGAUCUGCAUGCCAUUAGAGGUGUGGAUGAUUGCUUUACUGUAUGAUCAGAUGUUAUAUUUGAAGACCAUUAAUCAGGCAGAAAAAACAUCAGGCAAUUAAUUAAGUUAUAAUACCAGUCUUGUAAGAGGCUUCUGACUAUACUAAUUAAUCAAGUCAAGUUAGAAGGUUUUGUUCAAGGAGCUCUGAAUCACUUUCUGAUAGCCUUCAGAGAAAAGAGCUCUCAAUAUCGCAGAGAUGUAAACUAUUUGAAAUACACUCAUUUUGCACUCAUGUCUGCUGCUAUGAUGGAUUUGAUCUUAUAAAGGCAUGAUGAAGUCAAGAUGUUUUCUUGAAGGGCUGCUCUAAUGAGCUUCAGUUGUCUCAGAAGGAAUACCUUCUUUUUGGUGAGGUGGAGGAAAAUUGUUUUAAUCUUCAAAAUUCAACCAGACUGCCAUUUUGGUUGUUCAUUUUAGGAGAAUGUGGAGAGACUACGCUCUUAGGAAGAGCUCACUUUUAUUUUUUUAAUGCAACAAUGUUCAUGGCAGUAAGAGAGCCUAUGGGAGUUUUUCUGUAUGUUUUGCCAUAGUCACUGUCAAUAGCGAACAGUACCAAAUUUCCUCUUAGCUGAAGAUCCUCAGUGCUGUAGUAGCAUACUACAUAUUUUUCUCAUGAUAACAACCUUCACCUGGUGCUGAAAAUAAAAAGAACA